GACGAACGCUGGCGGCGCGCUUAACACAUGCAAGUCGAACGAUGAAGCCGGAGCUUGCUCUGGUGAAUUAGUGGCGAACGGGUGAGUAACAGGUGAGUAACCUGCCCUUGACUAUGGGAUAACUGCUAGAAAUGGUAGCUAAUACCGGAUACGACCCUCGGAGCCAUCUCCAGGGGGUUGAAAGAAUGUCGGUCAAGGAUGGACUCGCGGCCUUUCAGCUAGUUGGUGGGGUAAUGGCUGGCCAAGGCGACGACGGGUAGCCGGCCUGAGAGGGUGACCGACCACCCUGGGACUGAGACACGGCCCAGACUCCUACGGGAGGCAGCAGUGGGGAAUAUUGCACAAUGGGCGCAAGCCUGAUGCAGCAACGCCGCGUGAGGGAUGACGGCCUUCGGGUUGUAAACCUCUUUUAGUAGGGAAGAAGCGAAAGUGACGGUACCUGCAGAAAAAGCACCGGCUAACUACGUGCCAGCAGCCGCCGCGG
rnacentral:rRNA from 1 species